rnacentral:rRNA from 1 species
UACGGAAGUGGCUAGCGUUGUUCGGAAUUACUGGGCGUAAAGAGCGCGUAGGCGGCUUACCAAGUUGGGGGUGAAAUCCCGGAGCUCAACUCCGGAACUGCCCUCAAAACUGGUAGGCUCGAGUCCGGAAGAGGGGCGUGGAAUUCCCAGUGUAGAGGUGAAAUUCGUAGAUAUUGGGAAGAACACAGGUGGCGAAGGCGGCGCCCUGGUCCGGUACUGACGCUGAGGCGCGAAAGCGUGGGGAGCAAACAGG